GAUGAACGCUGGCGGCGUGCCUAAUACAUGCAAGUCGAGCGAACGGACGAGAAGCUUGCUUCUCUGAUGUUAGCGGCGGACGGGUGAGUAACACGCGGAUAACCUACCUAUAAGACUGGGAUAACUUCGGGAAACCGGAGCUAAUACCGGAUAAUAUUUUGAACCGCAUGGUUCAAAAGUGAAAGACGGUCUUGCUGUCACUUAUAGAUGGAUCCGCGCUGCAUUAGCUAGUUGGUAAGGUAACGGCUUACCAAGGCAACGAUGCAUAGCCGACCUGAGAGGGUGAUCGGCCACACUGGAACUGAGACACGGUCCAGACUCCUACGGGAGGCAGCAGUAGGGAAUCUUCCGCAAAGGGCGAAAGCCUGACGGAGCAACGCCGCGUGAGUGAUGAAGGUCUUCGGAUCGUAAAACUCUGUUAUUAGGGAAGAACAUAUGUGUAAGUAACUGUGCACAUCUUGACGGUACCUAAUCAGAAAGCCACGGCUAACUACGUG
rnacentral:rRNA from 1 species